UGAAACUCAACACAUCACAGUUUAAAUUGGAGGGCAUCACCAUCAGCGCAAAUGCUUGGACGAAUGCUGGACAUGCUGUUAAUCAAAUUUACGAUCUGCUUUACAUGAUGGGACGAGAUGAUGUUGCAGUUGGAGUUGGCGGCGAGGGUGGAAUACUAUCAGAUGGUACCAUACUCCCCAACGUUGGUGGAUAUCUUCCAAUCAUAGAACAGGGAAUGACAACGGUGGGAGAUUGCAGGUACAGGCGCGCCAUUCCUAUUGGUCUUGGAGGGCGUUUGGACAUUGAUGCCAAUUAUGGUAUCAGGAAAGCUUUCCUACCACAGGGAAGAAGGAAAUACAGUCCAAUGCAUCAAGCAAGCGCACAGGAAGUGUUGAUUGAGAAAAUAUCUUCUGGUCCCAUUACAGUGCUUGUGAUCGGAGUACACACGAACAUUGGAAUCUUCCUAAUGAAUAAUCCACAGCUGAAAAAGAACGUGGAGCGUAUCUAUAUAAUGGGUGGAGGCGUAAGGUCAAGCAGUCCAACAGGUUGUUGCCCUAAGAAUGCUUCGUCUUCCUGCGUGCCUCGCCAGUACGGUGAUCGGGGGAACAUGUUCACUGAUAACCCUUUUGCAGAAUUCAAUAUAUUUGGAGAUCCUUUUGCAGCAUACCAGGUGAUUCAUUCUGGAAUUCCUGUCACUCUUGUUUCUCUGGAUGCAACAAACACAAUCCCUAUCACUAAGGAAUUCUUUGACGAAUUUGAAAAGAGCCAAGACACAUACGAGGCACAGUACUGUUUCAAAUCCUUGAAAAUGGCUCGUGAUACUUGGUUUGACGACCAAUUCUAUUCGAGUUAUUUCAUGUGGGACUCUUUCGCAGCUGGUAUAGCAGUCUCAACCAUGAGUAAACCCAAUAACCAUAAUGGAGAAAAUGAAUUUUCUGAAAUGAAGUAUAUGAACAUAACUGUUAUAACUUCAAACAAACCUUAUGGGGAAAAUGAUGGCUCUAACCCUUUCUUUGAUGGCCGAAGAGUUCCUAAGUUCAAUCUAGAGAAAGGUGGGGUGCAUAGUGGCCAUGUUCAACAAGGACUUAGAGAUCCACUUUGCUUUGUGAAAAAUGGGAAAGGUAGAUGUCAGGAUGGUUACACAAAAGAGGUAAGUGGUCCAGACUCAGUGAGGGUACUUGUUGCCACAAAAGCAAAGCCUAACAAGGAUGUUAGGAGCAAACUUGACAGAGAAUAUUUCAUAAACUUCUUGAAUGUUAUGAAGGAUCCACAAAAUUCAGGGAGGUUCAACUUCACCACACAGUUUCCUUAUUACAAAGAAGUAACUUACAAGCCAAAUUUUCAAAAUAAAACACUGGGGAAACCUGUUGUGUUUGACAUGGACAUGAGUGCAGGAGAUUUUCUUGCUCUAUUUUACCUCCUAAAAGUGCCUGUUCAAGUAAUCGACCUUAAGGCAAUCAUCGUGAGUCCUACUGGAUGGACUAAUGCAGCU
rnacentral:sRNA from 1 species